CCUACGGGAGGCAGCAGUGAGGAAUAUUGGUCAAUGGGCGCUAGCCUGAACCAGCCAAGUAGCGUGAAGGAUGACUGCCCUAUGGGUUUUAAACUUCUUUUAUAUGGGAAUAAAGUGCAGUAUGUAUACUGCUUUGCAUGUACCUUAUUAAUAAGGAUCGGCCAACUCCGUGCCAGCAGCCGCGGUAAUACGGAGGAUCCGAGCGUUAUCCGGAUUUAUUGGGUUGAAAGGGAGCGUAGACGGGUUGUUAAGUCAGUUGUGAAAGUUUGCGGCUCAACCGUAAAAUUGCAGUUGAUACUGGCAUUCUUGAGUACAGUAGAGGUAGGCGGAAUUCGUGGUGUAGCGGUGAAAUGCUUAGAUAUCACGAAGAACUCCGAUUGCGAAGGCAGCCUGCUGGACUGUAACUGACGCUGAUGCUCGAAAGUGUGGGUAUCAAACAGGAUUAGAUACCCGAGUAGUC
rnacentral:rRNA from 1 species